CAAAAUGUAUUCAUUUCAUGAAAAGUUGUGUCAUGUGAAACGUCUUAUAACAUAAAAAACGUAGAUUUUUCAUUGUGCGUGUGUGAUCUAAAAAUGUUUAAAUUCUUUGCUGCUUUUGUAAUUCCAUCCUUAAUUUCUUGUUUCGCGGUGCCAAAUGACCCUUUACAUUUAAACAUACUACCACCUCCAAACUUUAAUUACCAAUCAGGAGAUUCACUGGCUAUUAAUGUGACAUUCAAGAAUGUACCAAACGGUCGGAACCCUGGCUUUAAAGUCAUACAUGGAAGUGCAGAAAAAGUAUUUGUGAAACGAGGAAAAACAUCAUUUCAAUUCAGUGAAAAAUUGAUUUCUCAAAGUGUAUCUCUCGACUUGGAUCUGGCUGAAGGCGACCCGGUCUAUACACUAUACAAAGGAAAAAUUCAGC